UAGCUGGAUUUUUCAGGGAAGAAAAGAGAAUGUGAAGUAGCUGACAUCUACCCAUGCUUUAAAAUACAACUGGGCUGUCUUCUGGUGAGAAUAUGUUUUACACAAUGUGAUCCAGUUGUGCUGUUCUACUGCAUGUGUGAAUGCUGUCGCUGCCAAUAAGCAUGCUUCUCAAUAGGUACUCUGAUAAAAGUUAAUUGAUAUUAACAGAUAUUUCUGUUCUCGGAGAGAGAAUGUUGUGAAUAAACAACAGGAGUGCAUCCAAUACUCUAAAAUGUUUAUUAUAAGGCACCAGAUUCAAUUUUAUUACUUCUCAAAGGCAGUAUUCUUAAGGUCAAACCUUCCUGAAGAAAGUAGCUGAUGAUUUUUUUUCAAAUUUCUUUUCCGCUGCUUAUAUAACAUCAAUAUCACUGGCAUAAAUUUUGUUUUAUAUAGAGCUUGUUGAGCACUUCUGAACUAUGCUGGGUACUUUCUACCAUCUUUAGUGUGAAACAGUACAUGUGCAUGAGGUGAGAAAAGGAACCUCACAAGACAACGUUGUAGACCUGUGGUACAAAUGUGGCAACAGAGGGAGACGAUACGGAAAGAUUAGCAGCAAAGCUAAGUUACUCUUCUUGGGUUAUUCUUUUUGGUAAUUUAUUAUUAUUGCCAUUUAUAUUAUGCCAGUCUCUGAAAGCCCCAGUAAGGAUCUGGUCUAUCCUGCAAUAUUGCAUCUUGGGUGCAAUAUUAAGACAAGUAAAGCCAUGAACCCCAAAAUAUGGGGCUGGAAUUGUGAAAUAAAACAUAUGGGUUUCAAAAGCUACAGUCAGACACAUGUAAGUCAUGUCUAAGUAUAUAUCAUUACUAGCCUAUUAUAUAAAUUUUAUAGACCUCUCCACUCUAUGAUUCAGUCUAUUAAAUUAAUUGUUUGGAUAAGAAGCUCCCAUUUGAACAAGAAGCUCUCAAGAAGUUCCCAUACCAGAUUUUUCUAGUCCUUAAAUAUUCCCUGAGUUAGAAUAUGGAAUGCUGGUCCACCAAAAUGAAUGAAAAAAACUGAUAAAGGACAGUCAUAGAUGGCAUCAGCUUCCUUCCAUACUCUCCAUUCAGUGUCUUUCUGAGUCUAGCGGAAGAUCAGCAGGUAUCUAAUUCCCCUCUUUAUUAUCUAAGGAUUCUCAUUUUCAUCUUCCCAUUUGAGGAGUAACUAAUACUUUUGUAUCACUUUGCCCCUCUAUUAGCACUGAAUCUCCUGAGGCCUUUUAAAGUGGAUUCUCAGAUUAAUAUCAGCUGUCCUCACAGUCUCUUCAUUCAAAAUGCACUGAAAAGCUCUGAGAGCGAACUGUGUGUUGGAUAAUUAUCCCGAUAUCUUAGCAUGGUGAAAGGAUACACACAUCCCUUUCAUGUCUGUGUCGUUCUAAGCGGUUAGCAGUUCAAGACUGUUAGCUCUGAUUCAGAUACUAAAAGCAAACCUGUCUCAGACUUGCAUUUUUUUUCAAAACUGCUCUGAAAAAGAUCAGUGCAUUUCUAUUAUUGCAGCAUCACUGGGAAAAAUAUACAGAAACAAAAACAGUUCAUCCACCACUCAAAGUACUACUGCUGCCAGAAUACUCCUUUGCCCCAAGCAUUUUCCUUCCCCAAUGAAAACACUUCUGCUGAUACUGGAAUGACCUGUACAAAUCUCUGCAGUUGCUUCUGCUGAUGAAUCGUAAUCGUCUCUGCACGUGUGUGUGUGUGUGUCUGUGUGUCUGUGUGUGUGUGUGUGUAUACUCAGGCAUUUAGACCUCUUUUUCCAUGGCGUGAGGGGCGGAUAUUUAAUCAUUCCCAAGAUUUUCUAGAAAUCCAUGCUGAUCGCUGCUGGCAGCAAGCCCUUCAACAGGGAAUUCAUCUGGCCCAGAACAUAUAGUCAAGUAUACUGAACGGCAAGCUCCAUUAUGAUCAGCUUUUUAAUUAAAGCUCUGGUUCCCACAUUCAUGCGGUUAUAAAAGACACUGGUUCAUUUAUUUAUUUAUUCUUCUAUAUUGGCUGUUUCUGGUCUUCAUGCAAAGAAAAAUUAGCAGGAAAAACUGAAAAUGUGAUUACAAGAGGUUCAAAAACAUAAAUAUGAAAAUCAUCUACUGAAUUAUGUUGAAAGUAUUCUUUGAAAUGUUCCAAUUAGUUUGUUCUACUGAAACAAUUAGCUAGUUAUAUUGAAAAGAUCAUUCUGCAGCCAAUCUAUGAUCUCUUCAGACUUGGGGCUGGAAGUUAUGUAGAAAACCCUAUGGAUGUGACAGAAACCCAAAACAUCUUAUAUUUGAUUGUCUGUAAGUGAGAGAAUUCCUGAAUCUCAGCUAUGUUCAGCAGUCUGAUUAAAUAAUGGUAUUUAUUAUUUGUAUCUAUAUUUAUCUUAAAAAGUCCCCUCUCUUCUUUGUCCUGACUUACUGAACCUCCCCUAUAUAAUGAUAUAUGGCUGAACCAAUUCCCCGAAGAACAAGACGUACAAAAAAUUAGUCUGUCAUGCUAUCAGAUUCAUAUUUUGCUCCUCGAUUCUUAUGGUGGAGAACUCAUACUUUUUGCCCAUAGAGGUGGUUUAUAGUUAAUGAGUCCUUUCUCUUUGUCUGACUGGCAUCAGCUACAAGAGAAACUGGUUUCCUACAGGUUUCUCCUCUCUAAGUUCUCUCUCCUUUCCCCAUUCGCUCCCCCACUGCUUAUUAUCACAAGGAAUUGAGUCAUUUCCAGAAAAAGUAAAGCCAAAAGGCCCCAGCAGAAACUGAACUCAAAGCGCAGUGAGGGCCUGGGACCUUCCCAUCACACUGGCACCAGUGAGGUCAGCUGCUGGGCUGGCCAGAGGGAAACAUUAUGCAGUUAGGCACCUUUUCUAUACUCUAUCCAGGCAAGCUCAUUUAUAUACAACGUUUGUCAGUAUUAUCAGGGUCAUUUAAUUUCAGUUUGAUACAUUCUCAAUAAGAAGAUCUGAAAUAAAAACAAACAAAAACCCAACGUUUCUUCGACUUUCAAAUCAGUAUGGCAUAGAGAUCCAUUUCACUGCUUCAUUUUUCUCUUAGUGUCCUGACCAAGGAAUUUGAGGUGGUUAGAUAUAACCAUUGAAUUCAAGACUUAGACUUAUGUAGAUGUAACAAAUGUCUUACCUGACAGGAGGAGGCAGUCAGAAAGUUUUCUUCAUUUUUUUCUAAGACUGCAUCACAAUAGAACAACAGUAAUUUUAGUUCAUUAAGUCUGAAAAUAAGUUAGCGCGUAGACUUGAAACUUUCGUAAGUAGAAGUGGUGUCCACAAACGUGCCAAACAGCAGGACUUCAUUCCCGCUUAUUAAUCCUUCCUUAAUUUAACAUCAUUCAGCGAUAUCACAUCUGGAUCUGAAUGUGAUUGACAGGAACCAAGACCAAAUAUUAUUUUCCAGACCUCCGGAAGUUUCAUUCUUUGGGGAGAAAUGCUUCUUGGAGUGAUGAUAUUUAAAAUCUUAAAUGUCUAAAUUAAUAGCAUUCAUCAGAGUGCUGCCAGUAACGAGGAUGGAUAAGAAGCAUAUACAUAGACACACAAGGGACAUAUGCAGUGCUCACUUUUUACAGAUUUCAGCUAUCUUUUCCUUAUAAUUGGAGGCUGGAGAUUGAAAGCUUCUUUACCCUUCACCUUAAAAAGAAAGCAAUCCAGGAAAAAAAAAGAAAGGAAACUUACAGUAAAAAUGAGGAAAAAACAUUCUUCACCUCAACACCAGCCUUGUUCAUUUGCCAAAACUUGUUCCCUUUGCCAUGUAGAGUGCUGAUCAGAGAGAAGCAGAGGAUGGCUGAAUGACUGAAAUUUCAUUUAGAUUUGUUAGAAGUUUUACAUACUGAACUGAUUGGGUUAUCAAAAAUAAUAUUAUUGUCUAAAACCUCUACAAGGAAUAAAUAUUAAUUCAGUUAAUGAAAUAUGGCUCCAUAGAAUGAGGGGUAGUAUUGCACAGAAAGAAGAUUAUGUGCUGCAUCAAACGCUUUGCUUUAAAUACAGUGUUAAAAAAAUCUUCCUAUUUACACACAUAUAAACUGAACACUUAUUUAACCCUUCUAUAGGCUGGAUUAGCAACAAAAGGACACUGAGAUACCCUCUUAAACAAUUCUUCUUAUAGGUAUCCAAUCCACUGGCCUAUUUUUUCAAAAACACUGGCACCUAAAGACUAUAUUUAUUUUAAAAUAUAGUUUAAAAAAGCAGAAAGGAAAUUCUACAGCCAGCCACAGAAGAGAUACAGCAUGGCAUAAACCUAUCUUUGCACUGCUUAUCUUAUAAAUUUGUUUUAAGAACUCGUAAGAUGCAUCUGCUUUCAAAAGCGAGGUGGACAGGCAAUAGCCUACAAUAAAACUACGAAAGUAUUUUAUCUCGUACAUAAUAAGACUAUCAUGAAAUAUUGUACACCAUGCGUAACAACCGUUUUUGUUGAGAUAUAGAGAUCUGUUGAUUCAGGUAAAACAUUAUAAAUUUACCACUUUGUAAAUUCGGGUAAGAACAAAAACUAAGGAUAAAAAAGAGUGGUCACGAUUGUUGAUAGAUUCAAAUCUUCCAUUACUGAUUUAAAUAUUUUUUAUCAUAAUUAUGCUAAUCGCUCACCAAGGAUUUAGAAAAUUUUCUCCUUUUCAGUUCCUGGAGUCUUUCAGUAGUAUCAUGAGACACCAAAACAAGGAGUUCUGUAUGUAGUUUGCAAAAACUUAUUUGGCAAGCAUCUUUCAGUAGCAGGAAAUAACUGUUAGCCGAUAGCAGAUAAUCACAAUCCCUAGUGUUCUGGUCACAGAAAUUACUAUGGUAUUCAUCAGGUAGGAGAAAAAUAACUCAUUUGUGUUAGUAACUAUGCCAAAACAGUUGGUACUGUAAAGUCUGAAGGAGCAUACACGGUAUGCAUAGCUUUUAUUUUCCUGGAAAAGUUACAAUCAGAUAAAAUACAUUCAUUGGCUUUAAAUCUCAGAGAAAGCUAUCCAAGACAGUCACUGUAAAUCUAUCAUUCAGUGAUGUCUGUUAUAUUUCACUGAGCCUUUGAUUUUCAUUUCUAUAUACAGCUUCAGGUGGAGACAUUUUGGCUAGCAUUAAUGCGAUAACAUUAAUAGUCUCCUUGCACAAUUUUUUGAGUGCCUAACAAAGUAAUUUAUUACUUAACUUCAGGAAGUUAUAGCACGAAGAACAAACUUGUAGGCUACAAUCCAUUAAAGCUGUGUACAAGUGUUUGGAUUUCUCAAGUCACGGGUUGAGUAUCCAAGAUAACUUUUCAAAAUAAAGCCUUUCAAAGAAAACAUAUUGGUUACAAUUAAUUGUUGUCAGUGAGGACUGUCAGGUCCCGAUGGAAAAUCUGGGCAACAGAGAGGAGCCAGAGGAGCGGCGUGAGCCUGCGAGACCCAAGUUGCACCACCAGCCCAGGCAGACCAAGCCCUCCAUUUGGGAUCACCCUGCUGGAGGAACACCUUAGCCACUGGAUUGCUGGGAGAGAGGAUUGAUAUUAACUCACAGCUGCCUGUGACAAUUUAGAAAUGCUUGUUUUCAUAUCUCGCUGAAAAAAAUAAAAGGCUUAGACUUGGAAAUUUCACAGAAUGGAGUAGCUCUUUUGGUCUCAUCACUCAGUUUAUCCUUUUCCCCCAAACCCAGU